rnacentral:rRNA from 1 species
AUUGAACGCUGGCGGCAUGCCUAACACAUGCAAGUCGGACGAGCGGCGAACGGGUGAGUAACAUAUCGGAACGUACCGAGUAAAGGGGGAUAACUAAUCGAAAGAUUAGCUAAUACCGCAUACUAUCCGAGCGGCCCCUAUGUGAUUAGCUGGUUGGUGGGGUAACGGCUGACCAAGGCGACGAUCAGUAGCGGGUCUGAGAGGAUGAUCAGCAAGACUGGAACUGAGACACGGCCCAGACUCCUACGGGAGGCAGCAGUGGGGAAGAUUGGACAAUGGGCGCAAGCCUGAGCCAGCCAUGCCGCGUGUGUGAAGAAGGCCUUCGGGUUGUAAAGUACUUUCAGUCGGGAGGCGUUACCGACAGAAGAAGCACCGGCUAACUCCGUGCCAGCAGCCGCGGUAAUAC